rnacentral:lncRNA from 10 species
UGGCAUUAUCUCAUUUACAUCUUUAAAAGUGCAUAUUGCUUGCUAAAGGACAUGUUUUUUGUUUUUUUUUUGUUUUUGUUUUUGAGACGGAGUCUUGCUCGUUCACCCAGGCUGGAGUGCAGUGGCGCGAAAGUGCUGGGAUUACAGGUGUGAGCCACUGCGCCCGGCCAGGACACGUUUUAAAGGAGGACAGUAGAGGAGAAACUAGUUAGUUUUCUUCAGUCACCUACUUGGAUUUCUAUUAACCUAUUAUUGAAGCACAGCUGCCAAGAAUUCCGUGUGACGAUGGCUCUCAGUGGACAUUCUCCAUUGUGGAUGGCUUCAGUAAAUCCAGGUGGCUGCCUGUGGAUAUCUCAUCUCAUGCUGUGACUCCAGCCAUGCCUUGCCCCUCACCAGCUCUGACACCAGCAGAAGGAGGAGAUAUGGCAUAAGCCUGGACAACAGAUGCUUCUCUAAGAUGUGGACUCUUGAAUGAGAAACACAAGGAUAGAAGGAAUGGUUGAAACAUACUUUAAAUGGAUGAGUGGUAUGCUCUUGAAUUAUAUCUCAAUAAAGCUGUUUUUUUUAAAAAAAGAUACUAUGUGAUCAUUCCUGCCAUCCCUGCUUCCUAGUCUUCCAGAGCAGUUAUGCUCCCUUUGGCUUUCGAGGUUUAAUUCUUGAGACUCCUCUUAAUGAGUCCAGCAUACAUUCAGCAAAUUACUUUUUGCUUUAAGUAGCCUAAAUCUUUAUCUUGUGGCUUGCAAGUUAGAAACUAACUAUAUAAUAUCAAUUUCAAGUCUACAUUAAUAACAAUGAAAACAAUGGCUUCUUUGGAAGUGACCUAUUUUCAACAUAAUCUAACAUUAAUUCACAAACUGGUGGCAUAUAUUUGAUUAUCUAUCAUUAUUCCAUAAUUCAUUUCUGUAAGGUUAUGUUCAUUAUUAUUAUAUUUUUCCAGGUCAUCAUGUAUUUUAGAAUGAUACUAGUUAAAUUCUCUGAAAGCUAAUUAUUCAACUCCUUACUAAAAAAAUUCACACAUCAUUUAAAUCACUUGAGUCAUUGGAAAGUUUACAAGGCUAACAGAAAAAUAAUAUA